UACGUAGGGUGCAAGCGUUCCUCGGAAUUAUUGGGCGUAAAGCGUGCGUAGGUGGUUGUGUGUGUUAGAUGUGAAAUCCAUGGGCUUAACCUGUGAAUUGCAUUUAAAACUGCAUGACUAGAGUGUUGUAGAGGGUGGCGGAAUUUCCAGUGUAGCGGUGAAAUGCGUAGAUAUUGGAAGGAACACCAGUGGCGAAGGCGGCCACCUGGACAAACACUGACACUGAGGCACGAAAGCGUGGGUAGCGAACAGG
rnacentral:rRNA from 1 species